rnacentral:rRNA from 1 species
GACGAACGCUGGCGGCGCGCUUAACACAUGCAAGUCGAACGGAAAGGCCUGCUUUCCCUUGUGGAUUGCGGGUACUCGAGUGGCGGACGGGUGAGUAACACGUGAGUGAUCUGCCCCCAACUUGGGUAUAAGCCUGGGAAACUGGGUCUAAUUCCCGAUAGGACUGCAGGGUGGUGCCUGUGGUGGAAAACGAUUUUCUAGUGGUUGGGGAUGAGCUCGCGGCCUAUCAGCUUGUUGGUGGGGUAAUGGCCUACCAAGGCGGCGACGGGUAGCCGGCCUGAGAGGGUGGACGGGCACAUUGAGACUGAGAUACGGCCCAGACUCCUACGGGAGGCAGCAGUGGGGAAUAUUGCACAAUGGGCGGAAGCCUGAUGCAGCGACGCCGCGUGGGGGAUGACGGCCUUCGGGUUGUAAACUCCUUUCGACCGCGAGGAAGCCACCUGGUUGGAAGGGUGGUGACGGUAGUGGUAGAAGAAGCACCGGCUAACUACGUG